rnacentral:rRNA from 1 species
GCGGCCUAUCAGCUUGUUGGUGAGGUAAUGGCUCACCAAGGCGACGACGGGUAGCCGGCCUGAGAGGGCGACCGGCCACACUGGGACUGAGACACGGCCCAGACUCCUACGGGAGGCAGCAGUGGGGUAUAUUGGGCAAUGGAGGGAACUCUGACCCAGCGACGCCGCGUGCGGGAUGAAGGCCUUCGGGUUGUAAACCGCUUUCAGCAGGGAAUAAGCGCAAGUGAAGGUACCUGCAGAAGAAGCACCGGCUAACUAUGUGCCAGCAGCCGCGGUAAUACAUAGGGUGCAAGCGUUGUCCGGAAUUAUUGGGCGUAAAGAGAUCGUAGGUGGUUUGUUACGUCGGAUGUGAAAUUCAGGGGCUCAACCCCUGACUUGCAUCCGAUACGGGCAAGCUAGAGUUUGGUAGGGGAGACUGGAAUUCCU